ensembl:lncRNA
GUAAGUCUCUGCCAGUCACCCUGUCCCAUACGUGUUCUUGGUCAAGUCCUCUCACUGUUUUAGGCUCUGGCUGAACCUAAUCAUCUCUAGAAAGGUCCAGCUGUAAAAAGCUAUGAUUCUAGAUUUUGGGAAGAGCUACCUUUUUGUAGUUUAUUCUGGAAGUCAGAGAGCAUGACUUUUGAGCCUACCUGGGGGUACAAAAGGCACAGACCAGAGCAUGUGCCUGUGUAAGUCACUGCCAUCAGCUGCCUGCCUGCUAAGUCACUUCAGUUGUGUCCAGCUCCUUGCGACCCUAUGGACUGUAGCCUGCCAGGCUCCUCUGUCCAUGGGAUUCUCCAGGCAAGAAUACCAGAGUGGAUUCCCAGGCCCUCCUCCAGGGGAUCUUCCCGACCCAGAGAUCGAAUCCACGUCUCUUAGGUCUCCUGCAUUGGCAGAGCAAAGAACAUUCUCCCUGUGUGGCAACUGGACACUGAACAUGGACUCUGGAGGGAGGUGGACAUGGCUAGCAGGUACAGAAUUACCUGGAGAACUGGUGGCAGUGGCCAGCAGACCCCUGAAACCCAGCAGGAAAAAGUUGCCGUGCCACUGGUAACUCACCGGGGCCUGCCAGGUUGAAAGGCAGCAUCAACACGAUUGACAGCUGAAACCCGACCCUCUGCACCACACCCAGAAGCCCCUGGACAACUUCCGGCUGCCCCAGGGUGAGGAGGGAGCUUGUGGCCCUACUCAGUGCUGGACAGGCAGGGGGAAAGCUGGACCAUCUUUGCAGUUCAGAUCAUCACCUGGAAGGGUCUGUGGCAUCGUGCCCUGGCCUCGCAUCACAAAGGUCUUUGCGCGAUGUUCUGGCUUCCAGGCUGUGUGGCUAAGUGUCGGGAAAUGAAGGCACAUGGAGGCCGAAGGAGGGUCUCACGGCUGCUCUGAGUUCCAGCAGCUGAGAAGCCUGUGGCUGGUGGCCUUGCCUGAUGGCCCUUUAUGAUGUCAUAGUCUGGCCCAUGUUAGACUCUCCACAAAUGUUAUUGGAUGGAUAGAUGGAUGGACAGAUGGUAUUACUUAAACCAAGCAGCUGUACUCUCUCUUGCUUGAUAAGUGAUUAAUAAAAUAAGACAUUCCCAGUCUUUCUUUUUAUUAAUAAGUCAAAAAGGGAAAGGUGAAAGUGCAUAUAUAUGUAUGUAUAACUGAUUCACUUUGCUGCACAUCUGAAACUAACAGCAUUGUAAGUCAACUAUAUACCAGUAUAAGAUUAAAAGAAGGAAAGUUGAAUGUAUGCAAAUGUGUGGGAGUAUAUACAUGUGGGAGAGUGUAUAAGUAUGUAUGUGAGUGUGUGUGUGUGUGUGCUUUUGUGUGAACACAUGUACCUGCCUAAGUACUUGUGACUCUGGGUACAUGUGAUUGUGUGUACAUAUAUGUGAGAGUGUCCUUGGGUGUGUCUGUGUAUGGGGUGUGUGAGUGUGAGUUUGUGAAUGUCUGAGCGUGAGGAUAUGCACGACAGUCACCUACACACGAACCUUCAAACUGCAAACUUUGAAAGAUACGAAUGUGCAUCUAGUUCCAGCAAGGAGCCAGAACCCAUGCCGUCAGCAUCAGGCGUGAGUGAACUCUUAGCUUGCCCUCCGUCUCCUGUUGCUGACGGCCCUUCAGCUCUACCGUCUCCCACCUCCUCUCCCUCCUCCAUCAGGAACUCUUCUGGCCUGUUCACUCCGUGCCAGCCCCUGUGUGCCAGCUAUUGUACUGUGCUUUACUUUCAUAGGUCCUCUAAGAU